ensembl:snRNA U6 U6 spliceosomal RNA
GUGCUUGCUUCAGCAACACAUAUGCUAAAAUUGGAAUGAUACAGAGAAGACCAGCAUGGUCCCUACACAAGGAUGAAUUCACAAAAAAAUUCAUAGAAUUCAN